UGCAAAUGAUGUGAAAGAAUAUUGCUAUCUGAUCAGUUCUGCUGACCAUUUCCACCAAGAUCACUGAUGCA